rnacentral:rRNA from 1 species
UACAGAGGUCUCAAGCGUUGUCCGGAAUCAUUGGGCGUAAAGCGCGUGUAGGCGGCUCGGUAAGUCUGCUGUGAAAGUCCAGGGCUCAACCCUGGGAUGCCGGUGGAUACUGUCGAGCUCGAGUCCGGAAGAGGCGAGUGGAAUUCCUGGUGUAGCGGUGAAAUGCGCAGAUAUCAGGAGGAACACCAAUGGCGAAGGCAGCUCGCUGGGACGUGACUGACGCUGAGACGCGAAAGCGUGGGGAGCAAACAGG